GCUCAACCAAAGAAGUGCAUUGGAAACUGGGAGACUUGAGUGCAGAAGAGGACAGUGGAACUCCAUGUGUAGCGGUGAAAUGCGUAGAUAUAUGGAAGAACACCAGUGGCGAAGGCGGCUGUCUGGUCUGCAACUGACGCUGAGGCUCGAAAGCAUGGGUAGCGAACAGGAUUAGAUACCCUGGUAGUCCAUGCCGUAAACGAUGAUUACUAAGUGUUGGAGGGUUUCCGCCCUUCAGUGCUGCAGCUAACGCAUUAAGUAAUCCGCCUGGGGAGUACGACCGCAAGGUUGAAACUCAAAAGAAUUGACGGGGGCCCGCACAGGCGGUGGAGCAUGUGGUUUAAUUCGAAGCUACGCGAAGAACCUUACCAGGUCUUGACAUCUUCUGACAGUCUAAGAGAUUAGAGGUUCCCUUCGGGGACAGAAUGACAGGUGGUGCAUGGUUGUCGUCAGCUCGUGUCGUGAGAUGUUGGGUUAAGUCCCGCAACGAGCGCAACCCUUAUUACUAGUUGCCAGCAUUAAGUUGGGCACUCUAGUGAGACUGCCGGUGACAAACCGGAGGAAGGUGGGGACGACGUCAAAUCAUCAUGCCCCUUAUGACCUGGGCUACACACGUGCUACAAUGGAUGGUACAACG
rnacentral:rRNA from 1 species